rnacentral:rRNA from 2 species
UACGGGGGGGGCAAGCGUUGUUCGGAAUUACUGGGCGUAAAGGGUCUGUAGGUGGUCUGCUAAGUCAGACGUGAAAUCCCUCAGCUUAACUGGGGAACUGCGUCUGAGACUGGCGGACUCGAGGGCAGGAGAGGAACGUGGAAUUCCAGGUGUAGCGGUGAAAUGCGUAGAUAUCUGGAGGAACACCGGUGGCGAAGGCGGCGUUCUGGACUGCUACUGACACUGAUAGACGAAAGCCAGGGGAGCAAACGGG